AUCGAACGCUGGCGGCAGGCUUAACACAUGCAAGUCGAGCGAGCGGCGGACGGGUGAGUAAUGUCUGGGAAACUGCCUGAUGGAGGGGGAUAACUACUGGAAACGGUAGCUAAUACCGCAUACCAUCAGCUGUGCCCAGAUGGGCUUAGCUAGUAGGUGGGGUAAUGGCUCACCUAGGCGACGAGCCCUAGCUGGUCUGAGAGGAUGACCAGCCAAUGUGGAACUGAGCACCGGUCCAGACUCUUACGGGAGGCAGCAGAGGGGAAUAUUGCACAAUGGGGGCAGGCCUGAUGCAGCCAUGCCGUGUGUGUGAAGAAGGCCGUCGGGUUGUAAAGCACUUUCAGCGAGGAGGCGUUACUCGCAGAAGAAGCACCGGCUAACUCCGUGCGAGCAGCGGCGGUAAAC
rnacentral:rRNA from 1 species